GAUGAACGCUGGCGGCGUGCUUAACACAUGCAAGUCGAACGGAAAGGCUCCUGCUUGCAGGGGUACUCGAGUGGCGAACGGGUGAGUAACACGUGGGUGAUCUGCCCUGCACUUCGGGAUAAGCCUGGGAAACUGGGUCUAAUACCGGAUAGGACCAUGGUUUGGAUGCCAUUGUGGAAAGUUUUUCGGUGUGGGAUGAGCUCGCGGCCUAUCAGCUUGUUGGUGGGGUAAUGGCCUACCAAGGCGUCGACGGGUAGCCGGCCUGAGAGGGUGUACGGCCACAUUGGGACUGAGAUACGGCCCAGACUCCUACGGGAGGCAGCAGUGGGGAAUAUUGCACAAUGGGCGCAAGCCUGAUGCAGCGACGCCGCGUGGGGGAUGACGGCCUUCGGGUUGUAAACUCCUUUCGCUAGGGACGAAGCGCAAGUGACGGUACCUGGAGAAGAAGCACCGGCUAACUACGUG
rnacentral:rRNA from 1 species